CCAAGUAUAUUGCGGGUGUAAUAUCUUUCAUGAAUGUGGCAUCCAAUCACACUAGAGAAGAUGGAAAAGCUUGUUGUCCAUAUCGUCGAUGUAGAAAUUUAUUUUGGUGUACCCUAUCGGACAUUCAAAAUCAUUUAUACGAACACGGUAUAGAUAUGACUUACAAGAGAUGGACUUGUUAUGGUGAAGAUUUACCGACUGGCUUGAGCAUGUUGCCCAAAAAUCCCAUAAAUGUAUCGUUAGUAGGUAGAUCACCC
rnacentral:lncRNA from 1 species